ensembl:lncRNA
GUCAGAAGCUACAAGAAGAUGCCCCUAUAAAGUAUGCACGCCACUACUCCAGGUAGUGGCUACAACUGGUUCUCCUUCCACGUGAUCUACCACACACAUCCUUGCAAUGCUACAGAACCAACAUCGUGUAGAGCACUCAGCUGAUGGGCAGGUGCAUGACACCAAACAAGCCAGGUACCAGGCAGUAUGCUGUAGCACAAUGUGGCAGAUCUUCACUUUCAGCCAUGUACCUGCAAAAUGCUGUGACAAAUUCCUGUAAAUUCACUGUCCAAAGCUUUAAUGCCAUUCCCUAAGUAACCUCACAUCUUCUCUGGGUAAGAAAAACAGAUUUGUGUAAUUCUAUCACCACGACUGCUCUCUCAAUUGAUGGUG